rnacentral:sRNA from 1 species
CUCUAGCCCCGAUAGCAGUGAAAAUCCUUUGUGGCUGGGGUUCAGCCUACAAAGAUUGCAACGGAUAGCGGGACGAUAC